CCUUCGCCUACCACUGAACUUGUGGCUGGUAAGCUGCACCAUCUGAUAAACGAAUUCCAAUCCCUCCCCGAAUCAAUCUACCGAGUGAAACGAGUCCUUCACUAUGCCUCUCUUCUCCCUCCUUUUCCGGACUCGUCCCGUAUUGACUCCAAUCGGGUCAUGGGCUGCACGGCCCGAGUCUGGCUCGAUGCUCAGCUUGAUCACUGUGGAAAGAUAAGAUUUUUAGCUGACAGCGAUUCGGAGAUUACGCGAGGGUUAUGUGCUUGUUUGUUAUCGGUGCUGGAUGGGGCGGCACCCGAAGAGGUGUUGAGCUUGAAGACAGAGGAUUUGGUGGCGCUGAACGUGGGGUUGCCUGGCGGCGAGAGGUCGAGAGCGAAUACUUGGCAUAAUGUGUUGGUGAGUAUGCAGAAGAGCACGAAGAAAUUGAUAGCGGAAAGGGAAGGGAAGAAGCCUUUCGAUCCAUUUCCUUCAUUGAUUAUCACUUCAAAGGGUAUUCAAGCCAGGGGAAGCUACGCCGAAGCCCAGGCAAGAUAUUUGUUACCAGAUGAGUCCAAGGUUCAUGAACUUGUCAACGUGCUAAAGGAGAAGAAAAUUGGUGUUGUUGCCCACUUUUACAUGGACCCUGAAGUUCAAGGAGUCUUAACUGCUGCACAGAAGCAUUGGCCUCACAUCCAUAUAUCUGAUUCAUUGGUCAUGGCAGAUAGUGCUGUAAAGAUGGCUAAAGCUGGAUGCAAAUUCAUAACAGUCUUGGGUGUAGAUUUUAUGUCGGAAAAUGUGCGUGCAAUUCUUGAUCAAGCUGGCUUUGCAGAGGUUGGUGUUUAUAGGAUGUCAAAAGAGCGCAUUGGUUGUUCUUUGGCAGAUGCUGCAUCUAGCCCUGCUUAUAUGGAUUAUCUUGAGGCAGCUUCUGGGUCUCCGCAUUCUUUGCAUGUUGUCUACAUAAAUACUUCACUUGAGACAAAAGCUUAUGCUCAUGAGCUUGUGCCUACAAUCACAUGUACUUCUUCUAACGUUGUGCAGACUAUCCUGCAGGCUUUUGCUCAAAUUCCAGAUUUAAACGUAUGGUAUGGGCCUGAUUCAUACAUGGGUGACAAUCUUGCAAAAUUGAUUCAACAAAUGACAUUGAUGACAGAUGAUGAAAUUGCUGAAGUACAUCCAGCACAUAAUAGAGACACCAUAAGAGCAUUGUUAUCUCGCUUGCAUUAUUAUCAGGAUGGAACAUGUAUUGUUCAUCAUCUUUUUGGAUAUGAAGUUGUGGAUAGGAUAAAUGAGAUAUAUUGUGAUGCUUUCCUAACUGCUCACCUGGAGGUCCCUGGAGAAAUGUUUUCUUUGGCAAUGGAAGCAAAGAGGAGAGGAAUGGGGGUAGUAGGUUCCACCCAAAACAUAUUAGAUUUUAUAAAGCUGAGAGUUCAAGAGGCACUAGAUAGAAAUGUCAACGAUCAACUCCAAUUUGUGUUAGGAACAGAAUCAGGAAUGAUCACUUCAAUUGUUGCAGCAGUUCAGCAUUUGCUAGGUUCUGCAAAGUCUUGUGGGGGAGCCAAAAUUAAUGUUGAAAUUGUCUUUCCAGUCUCAUCAGACUCGAUAACAAGAACAUCACCAAAUUCAUCUACUGGUCUAAAAUCUGUAAAUGCAGGGGACUUUGUGUUACCUGUUGUACCCGGAGUUGCUAGUGGGGAGGGAUGUUCUAUUCAUGGUGGCUG
rnacentral:misc_RNA from 1 species